rnacentral:rRNA from 1 species
UACGGGAGGCAGCAGUGGGGAAUAUUGCACAAUGGGGGAAACCCUGAUGCAGCGACGCCGCGUGAGUGAAGAAGUAUUUCGGUAUGUAAAGCUCUAUCAGCAGGGAAGAAGACGACGGUACCUGACUAAGAAGCCCCGGCUAACUACGUGCCAGCAGCCGCGGUAAU